rnacentral:lncRNA from 10 species
AGCCAUUUGGAGGUAUGAAGAGAUCUUGGAAAUAGAGGCCAUGUGUGUUGAAACAAGACCGAACAACUCCAAGUUCCUGAAGACUUCAUUUCACCAACCCAGAACCUCCUUGAUCAUCACAGUGGUCGAACCAUUUUACAUUUUCACCAGCAAUGAAGGAGGGUUCCUGUUGCUCUACCAUUUGGUACUGUCAGCGUUUUGGAUAUUAGCCGUCCUAAUAGAAAAGAGUGAGUAACUAGUGGCCUUUAGAUGAGCCAACCGCAAGCCUGGACUCAUCUUUGACAUCUCCUGCUUCCCUCCAUAAUGACCGUCGUUGCUCCUCUUGCCCAAGCCUUUGCAUGGAUGAUUGUCUGUCCUCUGUUGGGCCCCUUCUGAAGAGUUGGAGUUGGUUGCAAACUAUAGAAACCAUUUGGGCUGGUUUGAGCAUAAAAGGAAAUUACUGGGAGUUAUUAGGUGCUCGGUGAUUCAUUGGGAGGUCUGGCAAAAAAGAAGCUCAAGGCUAAGCUCAUAGGAACACAGCCCGGCAUCUCACACAGAAGUGGCUUGAUGAGGAUUCUACUGCCUCCACAGCUCCUGCCAUCAUCUUCAUCUGCACCAUAGAUGCUCAGAACCCAGUCUGUGUCUGCAUGUUGCUGACUUCCAAAUGAGAGCUUCAUGAGAGUGUAUUUGGUUGGUAGAACAUAGGUCCCAGACCUUCUCCCUGGGAGCUGGAAGAGAUGCUGGGAAAUUCUGCCCUGGAAAAAUAAAACUCACAAUGUGGGAAACAAAGAAAAUGU